rnacentral:rRNA from 1 species
UGUUAUGUUAAAUUAUGUUGAAAGCACGUCAUCCCGUCCGAUCUUGCAAGUUAAGCAACGUUGGGCCUGAUUAGCACUUGGAUCGGAGACGGCUUGGGAAUCCAAGGUGUUGAAAGCU